rnacentral:rRNA from 1 species
AUUGAACGCUGGCGGCAGGCCUAACACAUGCAAGUCGAGCGGAUGAAGGGAGCUUGCUCCUGGAUUCAGCGGCGGACGGGGGAGUAAUGCCUAGGAAUCUGCCGGGCAGGGGGGGAUAACGUCCGGAAACGGGCGCUAAUACCGCAUACGACCUGAUGGUGAAAGAGGGGGAUCUUCGGACCUCACGCUAUCAGAUGAGCCUAGGCCGGAUUAGCUAGCUGGUGGGGUAAAGGCCUACCAAGGCGACGAUCCGUAACUGGUCUGAGAGGAUGAUCAGUCACACUGGAACUGGGACACGGUCCAGGCGCCUACGGGAGGCAGCAGUGGGGAAUAUUGGACAAUGGGCGAAAGCCUGAUCCAGCCAUGCCGCGUGUGUGACGAAGGUCUUCGGAUUGUAAAGCACUUUAAGUUGGGAGGAAGGGCAGUAAGUUAAUACCUUGCUGUUUUGACGGUACCAACUGAAUAAGCACCGGCUAACUUCGUG